rnacentral:rRNA from 1 species
AUUGAACGCUGGCGGCAGGCCUAACACAUGCAAGUCGAACGGUAACAGGAAGAAGCUUGCUUCUUUGCUGACGAGUGGCGGACGGGUGAGUCAUGUCUGGGAAACUGCCUGAUGGAGGGGGAUAACUACUGGAAACGGUAGCUAAUACCGCAUAAUGUCGCAAGACCAAAGAGGGGGACCUUCGGGCCUCUUGCCAUCGGCUGUGCCCAGAUGGGAUUAGCUAGUAGGUGGGGUAACGGCUCACCUAGGCGACGAUCCCUAGCUGGUCUGAGAGGAUGACCGGCCACACUGGAACUGAGACACGGUCCAGACUCCUACGGGAGGCAGCAGUGGGGAAUCUUGCACAAUGGGCGAAAGCCUGAUGCAGCUAUGCCGCGUGUAUGAAGAAGGCCUUCGGGUUGUAAAGUACUUUCAGCGGGGAGGAAGGGAGUAGUGUUAAUACCUUUGCUCAUUGACGUUACCCGCAGAAGAAGCACCGGCUAACUACGUG